ensembl:antisense predicted gene 11525
CACAGAGGCACACAAAGGUCUACCACAUAUGCUAAGGAGGACAUCACCUCAAGGCCAGGAACAAGGCCCACUGGCCACCGCCAGAGACAGGGAGGCACAGGACUGGUCAUGCAGAUGCCAUGUUUUCUGGCAUCCGUGGUAAUCUACCAUAGUACCUGUAGUGGCUAUUCCUGGUUGUCAACUUGACUAUAUUUGGAAUAAACUACAAUCCAGAAUUGGAAGGCUCACCAGUGACCCUAUCCGGGAUUAAAGGUGGAGUCUUGCUUUUGCUCCUUCGCCUGCUUGCUGUGUGAGACUGAGUAACUGCUAGAUCCUUGGACUUCCAUUCACAGCUACGACUGAACCAUUGUUGGGAAUUGGGCUGCAGACUAUUAUAUUCACUCCCCUGUCACAAUGAAGAUGCAGUAAUCAACACAGUGGUGUACUUGAGAGGUGGUAGACAGGACCAAGUUCAAGGCCACCUGGGCACGGAGGGCACAGCCAGCCAAGACAAUGGUAAAGUCAGUAGCCCUGAGGACAACUCCGCUGACUGACUCUGUGUGUCCUUCAUGGACCUGUGCCCACCCUGGGAAGCUAACCAUCCCUAAUUUCUUCCCACUUUCUGACUCCUAAGAGGCUCAAGAGGGAGUUGGCUCCAUAUCCUGACCUGCAAAGGGAGGUAAAGGCAGCUGGGGACCUUGAAGCUCUUUGCCCUAGAACAUGAAUCACAACCAUCAGCAUCAUUAAACCUCCGUGUAAACAGCUCACCCUUGCUCAUCCUUCCUCCUUGCCUGAGCAGCUAUCAAUGCCAGGCUGUAGAGAUGAACAAGUCUGCAAACCUUCCCACCAAGUGCUCACAGGUCAGCUGAGGGACCAACUGAAUACUCCAUACAUACAUACUCCAUAGCAACAUGGAGAUACUCCACACACAACACAGCAAGGUGCUCAGACUUAGGGCUGCUGAGUUUCCAGGGCUUCCAAGAAGAUUCCUCUCUCUCCUCCCCCCCCUUCUUCUCUCUCCCUCUCUUCUUUCUUCCUCUCUUCCUCUCUCUCUCUCCUUCUCUUCUUUCUUCCUCUCUUUCCUUUCUCUUAUCUCUCCCCUCUCUUCCUUUUUUCUCUCUUCUUCCCUCUGUUCCCCCCCUCUCUCUUCCUCCUGUCAUUCACACACACACACACACACACACACACACACACACACACACACACACACACACACACACACCAGUUUGCGGACCAUAAAGUAAUUAAUCCACAUAGAAUUCGUAUAAAUGUCAUUUGGAUGUCAAAGGUAAAGCCUCAUUUUACAGAUUUUUUUUCACGAUAAGCCAUGGGCACUGGUCCAGAACCAGGUGUGGUAAGGAAGAGCCUUGUAAGUCAGAAGGGACUUCAGGGGCGACAGCUCCGAGGAACCAGGGAGAAAGUGAAAGUCACUCUGAAGGCUGGUGAAGGACACAGAGAGGCCACUGCAGCUGAGCCAUCGUGGCAGGCCAAGGGUGGGCACAGGUGUGUCACACAGAGAGCAAGAAUGGAAGCUAAGGAGGCUGGCAUGACCUGGGUUUGAAUCCCAACCUCCCCAGCAUCAACUGUAUCGGUGUUGGACGAGUAACCAUGUAAGCUUUGGCUCUCUCACUUUUAACUUAGCUACUAAUAGGAUCCGCCCUGUCUGUGAGUUGUUAUAAGGAUCAAAUUAGAUACAGCUUAUAAAACAUCAGAUCUACACUGGCAGGUGGUUAUCACUUAGUAAACAAGCUAACCAUAACAGAGGGCAGGGCAGCCUGCUUGCAGGGCACCUGCACUGUGCGGCUCUGUCCUUCCGCAUUGCAAAGCCUGGCUGGCUCAGACUCUGUCCCUCUUCACCGUCCCCUCUUCUAAAUCAGCAAAGACACUUGAGAUUCAUGAUCAGAAACCUUCUGUAGCCUCUCCUUGCUGAGAGUUCCACAAGCAGAGUCCUCCCUCUCUCCCAAAGCUGGCAGAGUGAAUGACUUGAACAACCUGGUCAUAAGUCUACCCACAGGCCUCAAGUGCCUCAUGACCUUAGAAAAGUUCAGGAUGCCUGUGUCCUCUGGGCUAGUUUCCCCCUGGGGUCAGUGGUUGGGCAGAAAGAACUAUCAUCAAAGAUCUGUGAGUCAGCACGGAGCCGUGGGUGGGGGUGAAGUGCUGGUGGUCUCUGUUUCAUCCUCUCGACUCAAGAGGACUGGGUCUGCUAGACUGACUGCACAGCCCCUGCUGUGCCCUGGUGUUGGUUCAAGGAGGAGAGAUACCCUUGGAAGUUGUGGCAGGGCCGGGCCUCGUGGGAUGUCCCAGGGAACUUGCACCACGUUAUUGGAACCCAGUGUUUGUUUAAUCAUAGGGGAGUCCAAGCAAUUCCACUUGCUUGAGUCAGCGUCCUGACAUGGGAGCCAAGUUCCCAUGAGAGCUCUGAAGAGGCCCUCAGUUCCUCUCUGUGGACUAUUUCCAGGGAUAUCUCUCAACUUACUUUGUAAUGAUAAUGAUUAUAUAUAAUAUUUUAUAUGUGUGUAUAGUUCACAAACCAUGAGAUCACGUAGCUACAAUAUGCUGUCAACUGUAAAAAGUUCUGAACAUUU